UACGUAGGUGGCAAGCGUUGUUCGGAAUUAUUGGGCGUAAAGGGCGCGUAGGUGGUUCUGUAUGUCUACCGUGAAAGCAUACAGCUCAACUGUAUUUUGUCGGUAGAAACUGCAGGACUUGAGGCUGGGAGGGGCUGGUGGAAUUCCCUGUGUAGCGGUGAAAUGCGUAGAGAUGGGGGAGAACACUCGUGGCGAAGGCGGCCAGCUAGACCAGUUCUGACACUGAGGCGCGACAGCGUGGGGAGCAAACAGG
rnacentral:rRNA from 1 species